GGUUGCUUCAGCAGCGACAUACUAAAACUGAAACAACACAGAGAAGAUUAGUAGAGCCCAGCUCAAGAUAAUGUGCAUGUUUAUGAAGUAUUUUCCAUUUUU